rnacentral:rRNA from 1 species
UCGAGAAUCUUCCGCAAUGGACGCAAGUCUGACGGAGCGACGCCGCGUGCAGGAUGAAGUGCUUCGGCAUGUAAACUGCUUUAGCCAGGGAGAAAGUUUAUUGAUAGUACCUGGAGAAUAAGAGGUUGCUAAACUCGUGCCAGCAGCAGCGGUAAUACGAGUGCCUCAAGCGUUAUCCGGAAUUAUUGGGCGUAAAGGAUGUGUAGGUGGUCGUGUUAGUCUCUUGUUAAAUUCUUCGGCUUAACCGGGGGCAUGCAAGGGAAACGGCACGACUAGAGGAUGCGAGGGGGUUUUCUGGAACUCAUAGUGUAGCGGUAAAAUGCGUUGAUAUUAUGGGGAACACCGAAAGCGAAGGCAAGAAACUGGAGCACUCCUGACACUGAAACAUGAAAGCGUGGGUCGCGAAUGGGAUUAGAUACCCCAGU